CAGCAGUCUAUGACAGGUCUGUGUGAAAAUGAACCCCCUUUUCACAAUAAAUAAUGCAGGAGACACACACAGAGGUAACACUUCACCGCCUUUACCUGUGCGGUGUCCUCAAGUCCACUGACAUCACUAUAAAGGUUGCAUCAGUUCUUGAACCUUUCAGCUGUGACCCAUAAGAGGCUGUGUGAGUAAGAAACGCUGUGUCAUUGGUGUGUAGUGUCAAGGUGCAGCACAUAUCUCCACACUGACCUCUUACAAACAGAUAAACAACCGGACUGAAGGAAGAAAAGUUUGACCAUGCUGUGACUGCUCUUCUCUGGUAAGUGUUCAAACUCUGACGUGUUUUAUGGACAAUUUGUUUUUCUCUCUCAGAGGAUUUUUCUUUUUAUUAUAGAGAAUGAUACUUUUGUUACAGGCUUUUAAUACUCUUUGUGUUGAGAAACAUUUUCAAAUUCUAAUACAGGAUGAUAAGAGAAAGACAGUAACCUGAAGGAGUGAGUGUUAAAUGGAGAGUAUUAAACCUGAUACGGGUACGAUCAGGUUACUUACUGGACCCUCCAGACAGAUAAUAGAAAGAUCUCUGUCUGUCUUUUUCUAGCUUUGAGCCGUGCAGCUGAGUGGAUAGCUUCCUGCUGUGGCUGCUGCUCAAAGACGGACAGGACAGGAUGACCCUACCGGAAUGAAGGUGUGUCUCAUUUAGAAAAAUUUGCCUAAUUUUAAAAUAUUUUGUUUACAACUCUCUUUUUAUUCUCACUGUGCAGGGCAGAAAGUGUGGACAGUGUCCAGUGAUGGAACAACACCUAAAAGUCCAAUUCCAACAUAAUCCUCUAAGGGGAGCAGACAGAUGAAGAUCUAAAAGUCUCAUUUAACAGCAGCAUGUUGAUCUGUGAAUGCUCUGCACUUGUUUUAAUGACGACUCAUCUUGAAAACUUCCUUCAUGGGGGUGGGAUGAAGUCUGACAGCAGACAUGUGCAGCAGCAGCAUAAGCUCAGGAGAGACAGAAAAUCUGUACGUUAAUCCAGUUAACAAAUAAAAGCGGUUGUUGAGAACA